UACGGAGGGGGCAAGCGUUAUCCGGAUUCACUGGGUUUAAAGGGUGCGUAGGUGGGUCUGUAAGUCAGUGGUGAAAUCUCCGGGCUUAACCCGGAAACUGCCAUUGAUACUAUAGGUCUUGAAUUAUCUGGAGGUGAGCGGAAUAUGUCAUGUAGCGGUGAAAUGCUUAGAUAUGACAUAGAACACCAAUUGCGAAGGCAGCUCACUACGGAUAUAUUGACACUGAGGCACGAAAGCGUGGGGAUCAAACAGG
rnacentral:rRNA from 1 species